rnacentral:rRNA from 1 species
AUACGGAAGGUCCGGGCGUUAUCCGGAUUUAUUGGGUUUAAAGGGAGCGUAGGCCGCAUGUUAAGCGUGCUGUGAAAUGUCGGGGCUCAACCUGGGCAGCGCAGCGCGAACUGGCUUGCUUGAGUGCGCGGAAGGGAGGCGGAAUUCGUGGUGGAGCGGGGAAAUGCUUAGAUAUCACGAAGAACUCCGAUUGCGAAGGCAGCUUCCCGCAGCGCUACUGACGCUGAAGCUCGAAGGUGCGGGCAUCGAACAGGAUUAGAUACCCUGGUAGUCCGCACGGUAAACGAUGGAUGCCCGCUGUGCGCCUUUUUGGUGCGUGGCCAAGCGAAAGCGUUAAGCAUCCCACCUGGGGAGUACGCCGGCAACGGUGAAACUCAAAUGAAUUGGCGGGG